GGGAUACCAGAAGUAGGUAGGAUAACCGCAAGGAGUCCGCUUACCACGGUAUGCUUCAUGACUGGGGUGAAGUCGUAACAAGGUAGCCGUAGGGGAACCAGCAUUUGG
rnacentral:rRNA from 1 species